rnacentral:rRNA from 1 species
AUUGAACGCUGGCGGCAGGCCUAACACAUGCAAGUCGAGCGGAGCGGCGGACGGGUGAGUGAUGCCUAGGUAUCUGCCUGGUCGUGGUGGAUAACGUUCGCAAACGGGCGCUAAUACCGCAUACUCUCGGAUGAGCCUAGGUCGGAAUGGCUAGAUGGUGGGGUAAAGGCCAACCAAGGCGACGACCCGUAACUGGUCUGAGAGGAUGAUCAGUCACACUGGAACGGAGACACGGUCCAGACUCCUACGGGAGGCAGCAGUGGGGAAUAUUGGACAAUGGGCGAAAGCCUGAUCCAGCCAUGCCGCGUGUGUGAAGAAGGUCUUCGGAUUGUAAAGCACUUUAAGUUGGGAGGCGUUACCCACAGAAUAAGCACCGGCUAACUUCGUGCCAGCAGCCGCGGUAAUUC